rnacentral:sRNA from 1 species
GGUUGCAACAUCCCCGUGGGUUGGGUGCAGGUUCCGUUGGGCCGGCACAGUGAAUCCACUGCAACU